UACGUAGGUGGCAAGCGUUGUCCGGAUUUACUGGGCGUAAAGAGCGCGCAGGCGGUCGUCCAAGUCGCGUGUGAAAGCCCCCGGCUCAACUGGGGAGGGUCACGCGAUACUGGUCGACUCGAAGGCAGGAGAGGGUAGUGGAAUUCCCGGUGUAGUGGUGGAAUGCGUAGAUAUCGGGAGGAACACCAGUGGCGAAGGCGACUACCUGGCCUGUUCUUGACGCUGAGGCGCGAAAGCUAGGGGAGCAAACGGG
rnacentral:rRNA from 1 species